ACUACCGAUAUUCUCGCCGCUUUUCCACUCUCUUUUAUCGCACAAUUAAUUGAAAAACAUUCAAAUUGUGCCAUGCGGUGCUGUUGUUUUUGCUUUUAUAUUUUUCUAAUUAAUUUUCGGUCGAGCGUCCCACUGUAGUCGCUGUUUGUCUCUCUCCCUCUCUCACGCUGUCUCUGUUCCCAUUCACGAUACCGCUAAAGCUAACGCUGCCUUCUGCCAACCAAGCCUCUCAUUGAGCCACGCUCGGCUCUCCCACUCACGUUGCCGCUCCUGUUCACGUGUGUUCCUAUCAAACGAUGAUCCUCUCACGAUACCGCGCACUGCUCCAACAACACAACAUUACAAGAAUAACACACUUCCCCUUUCUGCCAACCGCACCGCACCGCACCGCACUCACAGGUAGGUACUGCAGCAGCACUCUCUCGCUGCUGCUGAGCUUCACUCUCACUCUCUCACGCUGGCAGCGCUGCUGCUGGUGCUUCUGCUCCUACUGUUCUUAUUGUUGUUGCUGUCUCUGUCUCUGUUGCUGCUGCUGCGUUUUGUUUAUUUGUCUCUGUUCCACUUGUUUUUUGCCUUUCGCCUUUUGCACUUGUCCGUUCGUUGCUGCUGGUUGGCGCUGGCGCUGGCUCUGCUUCUUGUUUGCUUGUUAUUAUGCACACUUUUCCCGUUACAUUUCAAUUAGAUUUUCGCUGAUUUUUCGCACUAAUUCUUUAUUGGGAAUUUAAUUUGCGAUUUAGAAUAUUUAGCACACCAAUUUUUUUUUGUUUUUUGAGGAGAGCGCGAGACACACGAACCACCGCGCCGCGCCGCACGCCCGAAGUGCCUUUACGUUAUAUGAUGAAAACCGAAACGACGACGACGCCGAGAACCGUUCAACAUGAACGACGACGACGACGCGAGCAGAGCAAAACAGAGCAGAGCUGCCCCACUGAGCCAACAGCCAACAGCAGCAGCAGCAGCAGCAAAACGAUGCGAAAAACGAAUUGAGGCGAAGGCGAACAGGCACGGCAUGGCACCCAACACACACAUCCACACACACACACACAGACGAGGGAGCGAACGAGAGAGCAAGACCAGAGGCAAGCUUGAGAGAGCCAGCCAGCGCAAUGCGUGAGAGCGUGUCAGGCUCGGAAAUCCAAUUACAGGCAGAGAAGGGACUCCGGACCCCAGCAGACAGAGCGGCAGCGACAGUGUCGCGGCGCCGUAGCUUACAGUGACUCGAAAAGGAACACGCAUAUACACACACACAGACGCACAAGCAGUGGGACGCAUGGGGACAACAGAUGGAUCAAGUGGGAUUCACACACACGCACACAAGCCGACGGACGACUUGAGGACAGUGGGAGGAACCGAAAUCGCAAAAAGAAACAACAAAAACGUGACUUUGAAUUAUCCCACGGGGAAUAUAGGGAAAACAGUGGAAAAGCGGCGUUGAGUGGAGGAGAAACAAAUGAUACUGGAAGAAUAAAUGUAGCUGUGUGAUUUAUGCCUAA